rnacentral:rRNA from 1 species
AACUUUCAACAACGGAUCUCUUGGUUCCGGCAUCGAUGAAGAACGCAGCGAAAUGCGAUAAGUAAUGUGAAUUGCAGAAUUCCGUGAAUCAUCGAAUCUUUGAACGCACAUUGCGCCCUCUGGUAUUCCGGGGGGCAUGUCUGUUCGAGCGUCAU